rnacentral:RNase_P_RNA from 1 species
GGACAAGUGCAACAGAAAGAAUGUACAGGUUAAGCUGUAGUGAAACCAGGUAAACUCUACAAGGUGCAAUGUCAUGUAAAUCAACGUUUGAGGGUUGUGCGCCCAAUGUUGAAGGGUAGGCAGCUAGAGAUUAUUGGCAACAAUAAUUCAAGAUAAAUGAUAAGGGCUUCUUUUAGGAGUACAGAAUCCGGCUUAUAGAUCUGCUUUUUUU